rnacentral:rRNA from 1 species
UACGGAGGGUGCAAGCGUUAUCCGGGUUCACUGGGUUUAAAGGGAGCGUAGGUGGCUUUGUAAGUCAGUGGUGAAAGCCCGCAGCUCAACUGCGGAACUGCCAUUGAUACUGCUUAGCUUGAAUCAGGUCGAGGUGGAUGGAAUAAUACAUGCAGCGGUGAAAUGCUUAGAUAUGUAUUAGAACACCGAUUGCGAAGGCAGUUCACUAGGCCUGUAUUGACACUGAGGCUCGAAAGCGUGGGGAUCAAACAGG